GAUGAACGCUGGCGGCGUGCUUAACACAUGCAAGUCGAACGAAGCACUUUAUUUGAUUUCCUUCGGGACUGAUUAUUUUGUGACUGAGUGGCGGACGGGUGAGUAACGCGUGGGUAACCUGCCUUUUACAGGGGGAUAACAGUUGGAAACGGCUGCUAAUACCGCAUAAGCGCCCAGCAUCGCAUGAUGCAUUGUGGAAAACUCGGGUGGUAUACGAUGGACGCGCGUUGGAUUAGCUAGUUGGGGAGUUAACGGCCCACCAAGGCGACGAUGCAUAGCCGGGAUGUGAGACAGAGCGGCGACAUCGGGACUGGGACGCAGCCGGAAAUCCUACGCGAGGCAGGAGAGGGGAAUAUUGCACAGUGGGGGAAAGCAUGAUGCAGCGAGGACGCGUGAGCUAUGAUAUAAGUGAAUAAGUAAAGCGCUAUCAGCAGGGAACGUAAUGACGGUACCUGACUAAGAAGCACCGGCUAAAUACGUG
rnacentral:rRNA from 1 species